rnacentral:rRNA from 1 species
UUAGAAGCUUGCUUCUAUGACGUUAGCGGCGGACGGGUGAGUAACACGUGGGCAACCUGCCUGUAAGACUGGGAUAACUUCGGGAAACCGAAGCUAAUACCGGAUAGGAUCUUCUCCUUCAUGGGAGAUGAUUGAAAGAUGGUUUCGGCUAUCACUUACAGAUGGGCCCGCGGUGCAUUAGCUAGUUGGUGAGGUAACGGCUCACCAAGGCAACGAUGCAUAGCCGACCUGAGAGGGUGAUCGGCCACACUGGGACUGAGACACGGCCCAGACUCCUACGGGAGGCAGCAGUAGGGAAUCUUCCGCAAUGGACGAAAGUCUGACGGAGCAACGCCGCGUGAGUGAUGAAGGCUUUCGGGUCGUAAAACUCUGUUGUUAGGGAAGAACAAGUACGAGAGUAACUGCUCGUACCUUGACGGUACCUAACCAGAAAGCCACGGCUAACUACGUGCCAGCAGCCGCGGUAAUACGUAGGUGGCAAGCGUUAUCCGGAAUUAUUGGGCGUAAAGCGCGCGCAGGCGGUUUCUUAAGUCUGAUGUGAAAGCCCACGGCUCAACCGUGGAGGGUCAUUGGAAACUGGGGAACUUGAGUGCAGAAGAGAAAAGCGGAAUUCCACGUGUAGCGGUGAAAUGCGUAGAGAUGUGGAGGAACACCAGUGGCGAAGGCGGCUUUUUGGUCUGUAACUGACGCUGAGGCGCGAAA